GCUACAAUGGCGCUGGGGUCCAAUGUUCUGUUACACUUUGGAGGUUUUUCAAAAAUAAACUACAGCCAGACGGAUAAGAAUCAACAUCGUUACCUCUACCCACGUUCAAAAUCUUCAGGGAUGAUUCCUUCCACCUGUCCUUGCAGCAGAGCUGACAGCACUAUAUCAGGCAGGCCCGCUGGAAACAGACACAAACAUGGACGUCAGGUGGAGUUUUCCUAACCUGCCGGAGUUUUACCCACGCUGACCGACGCUGCUCAGAACUCAGCGAUGAAUCCUGACCAAAAACUUCCACACACUCUUUCAACUCCUCCAGUGGCAUACGCCUGAGCUGAGUGGAUGACCAAGCUGAGGGAAAGGUUCCUCUGAUGUCUGCACAAUUUGGAACUGGCACUGUGCAAUGAAUAAAUAAAUAAAAAGAAAAACAGGGAUAUUCAGUGAAUUUAUAAAAGUUACUUUUCAUGUACAAUAUACACUACUUCAAACCUUUUGCUUUUCUACUCCGUGCUUUGACAAUCCCUCGAAUAAGACUCUGAGUCUGCUGCUUGAGGUUGUGUUGGUCCAUACACUGACUAACACAGACCCCACCAACCACACUGUCCUCCCAGCGCCUUUGACUCAGCAGGACCUGCUCCACUAAGUCCUU